UGCAGUUAAGCGCGCUCAGGCUAGAGUAGUACUAGGAUGGGUGACCUCCGAGGAAGUCCUAGUGUUUUACAUG
rnacentral:rRNA from 1 species